rnacentral:rRNA from 1 species
GAUGAACGCUGGCGGCGUGCCUAAUACAUGCAAGUCGAGCGAAUGGAUUAAGAGCUUGCUCUUAUGAAGUUAGCGGCGGACGGGUGAGUAACACGUGGGUAACCUGCCCAUAAGACUGGGAUAACUCCGGGAAACCGGGGCUAAUACCGGAUAACAUUUUGAACCGCAUGUUUCGAAAUCGACAGGCAGCUUCGGCUGUCACUUAUGGAUGGACCCGCGUCGCAUUAGCUAGUUGGUGAGGUAACGGCUCAACAAGGCAACGAUGCGUAGCCGACCUGAGAGGGUGAUCGGCCACACUGGGACUGAGACACGGCCCAGACUCCUACGGGAGGCAGCAGUAGGGAAUCUUCCGCAAUGGACGAAAGUCUGACGGAGCAACGCCGCGUGAGUGAUGAAGGCUUUCGGGUCGUAAAACUCUGUUGUUAGGGAAGAACAAGUGCUAGUUGAAUAAGCUGGCACCUUGACGGUACCUAACCAGAAAGCCACGGCUAACUACGUGCCAGCCGCCGCCGUAA